CACUGCACCUUGGGACGUGGCGUGGUUAUUGGGGAAUUUAAGUCAUCAGGCUUCCUCCAGCACAUCUUUCGUAUAGCAUCGCCAGCUGGUUGCAGAGCUGGCUGCUGGGUGCCCCCUGCAGCACCAGGGAGUAGAAUAAGCGAUGCAAUGCCCCAUCUUGAGCAAAGCGAUCAUUCUCCGGGGAUACUUGGGCGUAUUCCUUCUAGCUCAAUGGAGCAAUCUUUCUGGGUGGUAGACACUUCUUCACACGCACAAAAAAAAAGAAGAAAACCAACGCUUUUGCUAAAAGCCCAAAAUAUUUCCGUAUAGCAUAUGGCGCCCUAAGAUAGGAGUAAACUUGCAGCAUCCGCUUCUGUCUGGCUUCCCGUGUUAUGUUAAAGGUGUUGCUCUGGGAUCUGUAGUGUAGAAAUGGAGUUGCUGCGGGGCAUGGAAAGUGUUUCAUUUGCGCCCAAGAGAAAAGCAGGCACUACACAGCUCCUUAGAGGCUGUGUAUCGGAUGAGUACCCUGAGAGUAAGAGCCCAGCUAUGAUGAUCCAUGUGGGAAGGUUAUUCCUAAUCAGCUGUGCCAGGUAAAGCAGCCCACUCCUGGUAACCCCCAUUUUUGUGGGUGUCUCCAGGAUGACCUGAAGAUGCAUUGCAGCAGGCCAGAAGGUGAGAGGGACUCUCGUGUCAGAGUACAGAAAUACCAGCAGUGACCCAGAGCUGUUCCCAUGUCCUGGCCUGGGAAGAAGAGCUGCUGGGAGCAAGCUGCUCUGGAUUCCUGAUGUCAGCUGGUGGGUAAAGAAAAAUUCCAGUCCUUUGUUCUCCUUUCACAAGGUUUUUACAGCAGUGCCUAUUCUACAGAGUCCCUCCUAAUUUACACAGCUGAAGUGUGAGGAAAGCCAAACUGCUCAUGGCUAUUCGGUGAAAUUACCUAACUAGUAACAUAGGUGCAGACUGGAUUAUUUGAACUGCUGCCGUUUACACGUGGUCAUACAUUGCAGAGAGGUUCCGUGGCACGUGGGAAUGGCAUGAUGUUGCUGAGUGCAGCCUUUGCUUUUUCAGUGGAAACUCUUUUUCCUGUAGGGUGGCUCUAUGCUCUUUUGGGCACCGGGGAGCAGGUUCUGGAAGAGCAGGCAGUCCAGAUCGCACCGAGGACAGCGUCUGUUCCAGGCCUGACUGUGCAGCAUGCGUGGGUUUGUGCUCGAGCCGAAAUAACGUGCGUUUUGCCGAUAAUGGUCCGUGCCCUCUCUGCUUCCCAACAGCUGGCUGCCAGAAGGAAGCACGCGGUGAAGUGGCACCUGCUGAAGCACGGAAUGACAGUCAUAAUCCGGGAGUGUCUCAUUAUCUGAUCAGCAGUAAUACAUAUUUUCCUCUCAUUGCUGUACCCUUCAGGAACAUGGCUAAAUACAAGGUGCCUUACGAGUUCAGGGGGGCAUUUUCAACAGUGCUGAUGGCGCCAGCAAAAUGACAUUAUUGAGAUAUGAUUGCAGAAUCCUGGCAACAGGAAUGAAAAGCAGCAGAAGUGCUGCUCCUUUUGUUCUACCCAAAUGAUACCAAUCACUGGCCGUGCUAAUGGUACCUUCAGAGAGACGUGCCAGUCAAAAAUCAGUGGCUUUUUUUGGCGUGUGCAUUCCUAGAACGCUUUUUGCAAUGUGACCAUAGGGGGUUGACACAAAUUACCAUACUGCUAGCACAGCUGUCCUACAUAAUUUGUUGUUGCGUAAAGUUAUAAUUAACGAUUUUAACAAGUACCAAGGCAGGCACGUUAGGAAUCCGCACUACAGAGCUUCGGGUUCUUUAAUAAGGCACAUCUGUUAUAAAUUAUAUGGAGGGUUUUUUUUUGCAAGUGUGCUAAACAAUGCUGGGUUUGACCACUUGCAGAAAGAUCUUAAUGGGAUCAAACCUGCUUCAACAACUGCCUGAGGGCCUCGUGGCUUGUGCAUCACACCAGCUCUGGCAGGACAAGCUUAGCCGCCGUGGAACGGGAUGGUGUUGGGUAAGGAGCUGAGGUCAGCCUUGUGAUGCAGCAGUAGUUGGUCAGAGUGGUUGUUGCUGGCUUUGUGGCGGUACUUGUGAGGAAAGGUGUAUCCUAGCUCCCCCGCUGCACCCAAAGGACGCUAGGAGCAUGCGGAAAGAAUAAACCUGAACUGGUAUUACUGGAACUCUAACUGGAAGCUCUGGGUGAACCAGUAUGAUGGCAGCCGGGGGAUCCAUAAAUCAAGCAGGCCCAUCUAGAAAAGAAGACACUUGCUGUUUCCCCUUAUUCACUCAUUCCUUGAAAAAUAUUGUCAUUGGUCACUGAGUUAUUUUGAGCUCUGAGAAAGUUCUGGGUCACACCCAGGAUGAGCACGUCACGCCUAUUGAUACACAGCUUGCGCUCUAGAAAACCUAGAGGAGGCUGCAGGAAGGUGCAGAAGCGGUAGGUGAACCAAUAUUUACAGUUUUUCCUUUCUCAUCUGCUUCUUGAAAAUAGCACAGAAGAAAGGAGCUGCAUAGAGGGAAGCUGUAUGAAGUUAAUCUUUUUGUUAACUUAAUGUUUCCUCUUACAGGGUCUGCCAAAUACAGAGGAAGGGAAAUCAGACUUGUUUAAAACAGUUUUCUUCUUCUUUAAACAGAAGAAAACAUCAAUCCUGUGAAUUUGGCAUUAUUUUCUGACAUCUGAACUAGACAACAGAGAAAUAGUGGAAGAAACUGUAUUGAUUUGGAGUGAGGCCAAAGUUCAGUGAAUCAGGACUCAGAAGAGAAAUGGAGAGGAACAGGUUACUUACCGUCACAGUCCAGCCAUCGAAUUUGCAGACCUUGGGUCUUCCAUUCCCAAGACAACUGAGCACAAUAUUCUCAGUUGGAGCAAAUAAGUGGAACUGAAAGGAACGCUUUCAGAGGAAGGAGAAUCACUCCCUGAACUGUUUUAGAUGUUAGCAGCAGCAAGACACAAACAAUGCAGACACGUUGAGAGUGCAAGGCUGCAGGGAAUACCACACGCAACCAUACACAAGAAACCCAUCCUACAGCUUCCCACAAGUCUAACAGAGUAAGUAUGGCUUUCUUUAAUUUACUGGCAAGUAAAUUAACUGCGGCUAUGCGGUUCUGCUCCUUGUGCCAUGCAUACGA